CCUACGGGUGGCAGCAGUGGGGAAUAUUGCACAAUGGAGGGAACUCUGAUGCAGCGACGCCGCGUGAGUGAAGAAGUAAUUCGUUAUGUAAAGCUCUAUCAGCAGGGAAGAAAGUGACGGUACCUGAAAAAGAAGCUCCGGCUAAAUACGUGCCAGCAGCCGCGGUAAUACGGAGGAUGCGAGCGUUAUCCGGAUUUAUUGGGUUUAAAGGGUGCGUAGGCGGACUGUUAAGUCAGCGGUAAAAGCCCGGGGCUCAACCCCGGCGAGCCGUUGAAACUGGCUGUCUUGAGAUGUCGAGAGGUAUGCGGAAUGCGCAGUGUAGCGGUGAAAUGCUUAGAUAUUGCGCAGAACUCCGAUUGCGAAGGCAGCAUACCGGCGGCGAUCUGACGCUGAGGCACGAAAGCGUGGGUAUCGAACAGGAUUAGAUACCCCAGUAGUC
rnacentral:rRNA from 1 species